UUUUUUAGCAUAUCACUAAGCGGAGGAGAAGAAACUAACCAGGAUUUCCCUAGUAAUGGCGAACGAACCGGAAAGAGCCCAGCUUGAAAAUCCCGGCGCUGCGCGCCCGGAGUUGUAGUCUGGAGACGCAUCCUCUGCAACGCACCGGACCCAAGUUCCCUGGAAAGGGACGUCAGAGAGGGUGACAACCCCGUCGAGUCUGGACCGUGUUGCUCCACGAGGUGUGGUCGUCGAGUCGGGCUGUUUGGGAAUGCAGCCCUAAGUGGGAGGUAAAUUCCUUCCAAGGCUAAAUAUUGGCAAGAGACCGAUAGCGAACAAGUACCGCGAGGGAAAGAUGAAAAGGACUUUGAAAAGAGAGUUAAAAAGUGCUUGAAAUUGCUGGGAGGGAAGCGAAUGGAAGCUGCGGGUGCGCCCCGGUUGGAUGUGGAACGGCCUUCAAAAGCUGGUCCGCCGCUCAACGCGGGGCGCUGGUCAGCGUGGGCCAUCGCGGCGGGACAAGAGCGGGAUGUAGUUUCCCGCCUAUGCCGUUGCGGUGGCCGAGGAACGAAGCGCGCGAGAUCCGUCUCGUGGGACUUGUCCCAACUGCGCGCUCGGGACGCUGGCGUAUUGAGCUCUUCAUCCGACCCGUCUUGAAACACGGACCAAGGAGUCUAACAUGUAUGCGAGCCGGUGGGCGGCAAACCCAUUGAGGCGCAAGGAAACUGACAGGUGGGACCCCCCUAAAAAGGGAGCACCAUCGACCGACCGUGAUCUUCU
rnacentral:rRNA from 1 species